rnacentral:lncRNA from 1 species
AACAUGCAAGAAAAGGCUGGGAAGGGCACUUUCGGCGGCACCUUCGGCGGCCGAAAGUCCCUCCAGAGCCGAAAGUCAGGCAGGUUCGGCGGCACCUUCGGCGGCCGAAACUCCCAGACAGAGACGAAACUCAUGCAUGUUCGGCGGCACCUUCGGCGGCCGAAAGUCUCGGACAGAGCCGAAACUCCCACUUCGGGGGCAAGCUUCGGCAACCUAAAGCUGCCUCACAAGCCAUGUUCGGCGGCCGAAACUCCCUUCGGCUGCCGAACCUGGUUUCUGUCAAGGGCAGAAACUUGGCUCCUCUUGCCUCCAAGUUUUCCCAAACUUCCUAAUCAUGCAUAAACUCUUCUACAACACUCAUACACAAGCAUGCAAGCUCCUAGGGGCCUCAAACUAACUUAAACCCCAACUACAACACACAAACAAGCUACAUUGCUCAAGAACAUGCACAUCAUACCCAUAAACAUAACAUAAACUUCCACAAGCCUACUCAUGCAUUUCUACCCCAUAGAUCUACUCAAAACUUACUUAAAACAUGCAAGAGAGGUUGGAUCUAAGCUUACCUCUUGAAGGUCGAGAGGAAGAACGAUCCUAGCUUGGAGGUAGGGAGAAAUCCACUCUUUGAUUUCCAAGCUUCCAAACUUGCUCAAACUUCAAAACUCUUCAAAAACAAGAUGUAACUUGUUAAAAUCUGAAAGAUUUGAGGGAAAACACUUAAAAUGACCAUAGGAGGGCUAAAGCUCACCGUCGGCCGAAAUGGAAGAGAAAAUCUCGCCUCUUUCGGUCACGGGGUCCUUUAUAGGGCUGGUUCUGUCACCUUUCGGCGGCCUAACGUGCCCCCACAUCUCAUGCAUGUUCGGCGGCCGAACAUGAGGUUCGGCGGCCGAACCUUGACUCACUCAAACAAGGCUUUCGGAGGCCUAAAGCACUCCCAAAACCUUACCAUGUUCGGCGGCCGAACUUAACUUUCGGCGGCCGAACCUGGCAAAGCCUCCUUUGGUCUUUUUCAUUCAAAAACUCAAAUUUUCUUUUUACUUAGAAACAUAAAAUACCUUAAAAACAUUUCAUAAAACAUGGUUUUACCCUUCUAGAGGUUUCCGACAUUCGAGAUUCCACCGGACGGUAGGAAUUCCGAUACCGGAGUCUAGCCGGGUAUUACAAUUACCUUAUUUCUCACCAAGUGUAUUAGGAUUGAUAUUUGACUAUAGCCAAAACUCUCGUCCAAUAUUUUCGCUCCCGCCUUGUGACUUGUCCAUAGGAUACUCACCUCACGGCUACGCAAUAACUUGAAAAAGUAAUAAACCAAACUUAACACUCGAUCAUAAUAAUGACUUGAAGGAUUUUAUUAAUUGGGAUUGACACCCGAUUAUUAACCUAGUGGAUACCCACUUUGCAACGCUUUUUGGCAGUACCUGACUUAGUCUUUUGGGACUGACGCUCGAAGACUAGCCUAGCGAUUGCCCGCCUUAUGGCAUUCUUGGGCAGAAAUUUGACUUUGUCUUUUGGUCUAACGCUUGAAGAUUAGCCUUGCAGUUGCUCGCCUUAUGGAGUCCUUUGGCAGAAACUUACCUUAGCCUUUUUUAGACUAACGCCCGAAAACUCGCCUGGCAGUUAUCUGCCUUGUGGCGUUCUUUGGCAUAAACUUGCCUUUGUCUUUUGGGAUUAACACCCGAAGACUCGCCUGACAAUUAAUCGCUUGUGGCCUGACACAGGAUGCUUUAGAAAUAUUUUGUGAAGCGGGACUAACCCAGACUAACCCAGACUAUGGCCUGAUUGAUUCCUACCUUGUGGCCUAGCAUAGAGAUGCCUUUGUUUAGUGGGACUAACACCCGGUCUUUCGGCCUGACGGAUUCUGUAACGACCCAAAAAUCGGACCGCUACCGGCGCUAGGAUCCGGAUCGGCUUAAGGCCGCCGGGACCCGUAGCAAGCCUGACGUCUAACCUGUAAACCUGUAUAAUCCCAUACAUGAUCAACAACAUACAUAAAAAUUUAAAACUUUUCUUUCCAUAUACAUCAACCAAACUCAACCUGAGCAUAAACAUAAUCAUAACAUUGAUCCCUCUGUGGGAUCUCAUCAGUGUCCCCAAUGGGUGACAUAACAUAUGCUGAGUUGGUUACAUAAAUAUCAUAAAAAUCUCUAAGAUCAUGUAUUAAAGGGAUAACAACAUUCUAUGGUCAAGCACACUUCUAAUCAUCCAAAACAUCAUCUCAUUACAUAUCUAUACUGAUUAAGACAUUACAUUAUAAUUUGAUCAUGUCCAUUGCUAACUAUUACAUAAGCAUAACUUCUUUACUCUAUCCGGACUCCCGCACUAUACUGUACCUGCAAGCCUGGGGGUAAAGGGAGAGGGGUGAGCUAAAAGCCCAGUGAGAAGAACUAUAAAACAUUUUAAUACUAUGCUCCAAUGAAAUGCAUCAUAACACAGACAAUUCACAUAAGGGUUGGGUGAACUUGUCACCAAUUAGUCCAAGCUAACUCUGUGCCAGGCCGUAGCAUGGGGUCCUGGUCUUCCUGUCAUACAUACAUUACUUACCAUUGCCCCAAGGCCUCAUCUAGGCUCCUGGUCUUCGAGUCCCAUAACCGUGCCAGGCCGUAGAAUGGGGUCCUGGUCUUUCCUUACUCUGUGCCAGGCCGUAGAAUGGGGUCCUAGUCUUCCGGUCAUGGACUAAUUGGGUCAUCCAACAUUCACCCACAUCAAUAACAAUCGAUGCAAUGCGGCAUAUUCAUGAAACUAAUGCAAUCAUCCUAUUGCAUAAUCAUGAUGCAUGGAACAUGAUAAAACAUUUAAUUUAAAAGAUUAAGUUUAGUUCCACUCACCUCUGGCUGACUCUGACAACACCGAAGCAGCUGAACUCACUGCUGGGGUCCUCAGUUCCUCGGGUCCGAACCUACACAGGUGGACUCAAAUGAGGGACCAAACAUACUAGAACAUAUCUCUAAACUACUCCCCAAAAACCCCCUAAAACAACAUGAAACAACCAUAGAAAAACAUGCAAAGGAGGCCUGGACAGGGCACUUUCGACGGCAGGUUCGGCGGCCGAAAGUCCCUCCAGAGCCGAAAGUCAGGCAGGUUCGGCGGCACCUUCGGCGGCCGAAACUCCCAGAUAGAGACGAAACUCAUGCAUGUUCGGCGGCACCUUCGGCGGCCGAAACUGCCAGACAGAGACGAAAGUCUCCUUUCGGGGGCAAGCUUCGGCAGCUGAAAGGCUGCCUCCCCAGCCAUGUUCGGCGGCCGAAAGUUCCUUCGGCUGCCGAACCUGGUUUCUGCCAAAGGGCAGAAACUUGGCUCCCAAUGCACAUUUCGCCUCCAAACUUAUCAAACAUGCAUCAAACCUAUUCUACAACACACAAACGCAAGCAUACAUGUUCCUAGGAGUCUCAAACCAUCAUAAACCCCAUCUACAACACAUCAAGCAUCCACAUUGUUCAAGAACACACAUUUAUACCCAUAAACAUAACCAUAACCU